GACGUAGGGCGCGAGCGUUGUCCGGAUUUAUUGGGCGUAAAGAGCUCGUAGGCGGCUUGUCGCGUCGAAUGUGAAAUCUCAGGGCUCAACUCUGACAUUGCAUUCGAUACGGGCAGGCUCGAGUUCGGUAGGGGAGACUGGAAUUCCUGGUGUAGCGGUGAAAUGCGCAGAUAUCAGGAGGAACACCGGUGGCGAAGGGCGGGUCUCUGGGCAGUAACUGACGCUGAGGAGCGAAAGCGUGGGGAGCGAACAGG
rnacentral:rRNA from 1 species